AUGAAUAUGUCCCAGGCUGAUCAACUUGCUAUGUGGGAAUCAGUGAGGAAAAGAGAUGCGGAUAGUUAUAUGAAUAUCUCUACCAAGCUUAAGCUUGGACCGUUUGAAGAUUCUUUCUGGACUUCCUCGUUAGAGCCUCAACAAGGUUCUGAUGAGCCUGAAUCUCCUGGAUCUGUCAAACCAUGCAGGGUACCUGUUCGAUUAUACGUGCGCAGAGUUCAAGAAGACCUCGAGUAUUUAGAAGAUGCGAUUCCUGUCAGUGACUGGGAAGGUGUAUCCUAUAUAAACCGGCCAUUCGAGAUCCGAAAGGAGGGAGAUAGAAGGAUAACUACCCUGGAACAUGCCUUGGGGACGUUGCUACCAGAGUUCUUCAGCUCGAAGCCCACAGCUAAAGCUGCUGGUCCUGGACCUGCGGCAACGACGCCAGAGUCUGCACCCGACGAUUCAGAUACCACUCAAGGGACUCCUCGCGACAGAGAAGCAGCUUUGGCGAGUCCGGAAGAGAUGUAUGUGGCCAAGAAGGCCAGAGUGAAGCUGGUGCGGAUACAAGGCAUGGAGCUCGGCCUGGACAUGCCGUUCCUCUGGGUGGCCAACAACGAACCCCGAAUGCUUCCUCCAUGUCUGUGUAUACAUCGGCGCAUGAAUGUAACGGCGACGGAAGAAGAGUAG
rnacentral:rRNA from 1 species